rnacentral:rRNA from 1 species
AUGUCGCCUUUUCUUCAGCCCCGAGCAGCCGUGCCGCCAGAGCUCGCGAACCUUGCCGCCACCUCGACUCCUCCGUGUCCGGGACAUCAGGACGUCGCCGGCAUGCGGAACGAAGCCGCCCCAACUGGAUCCACGCCCUCCGCCAUCGCCCGCUCUCCCGCCAUUCUUCCUCACCUCGAAUUGGUUGCACCGAGAAACAAGGCCGCCGAGCCAAAUUUGCUGAACCAGGCUACCAAGUUUGAGUUCUCCUUUCUAGAGUCUCUUUUGCGUCAUGGUAUAUCUGCUAUCGAGAAUGAUGCUCAGAAAAUUCUUCGUUCCAUGCCAAAUGACAUUUUGUUUCGACUUGAUAACACCAGAUAUUCUGCUAAUGAUAGGAAGCGUGGUUUAAAACUGCUCUGGCUGGAGUUGUAUGCUUUGUGA